UCCCUGAUGUUAGCGGCGGACGGGUGAGUAACACGUGGGUAACCUGCCUGUAAGACUGGGAUAACUCCGGGAAACCGGGGCUAAUACCCGAUGGUUGUUUGAACCGCAUGGUUCAAACAUAAAAGGUGGCUUCGGCUACCACUUACAGAUGGACCCGCGGCGCAUUAGCUAGUUGGUGAGGUAACGGCUCACCAAGGCAACGAUGCGUAGCCGACCUGAGAGGGUGAUCGGCCACACUGGGACUGAGACACGGCCCAGACUCCUACGGGAGGCAGCAGUAGGGAAUCUUCCGCAAUGGACGAAAGUCUGACGGAGCAACGCCGCGUGAGUGAUGAAGGUUUUCGGAUCGUAAAGCUCUGUUGUUAGGGAAGAACAAGUACCGUUCGAAUAGGGCGGUACCUUGACGGUACCUAACCAGAAAGCCACGGCUAACUACGUGCCAGCAGCCGCGGUAAUACGUAGGUGGCAGCGUUGUCCGGAAUUAUUGGGCGUAAGGGCUCGCAGGCGGUUUCUUAAGUCUGAUGUGAAAGCCCCCGGCUCAACCGGGGAGGGUCAUUGGAAACUGGGGAACUUGAGUGCAGAAGAGGAGAGUGGAAUUCCACGUGUAGCGGUGAAAUGCGUAGAGAUGUGGAGGAACACCAGUGGCGAAGGCGACUCUCUGGUCUGUAACUGACGCUGAGGAGCGAAAGCGUGGGGAGCGAACAGGAUUAGAUACCCUGGUAGUCCACGCCGUAAACGAUGAGUGCUAAGUGUUAGGGGGUUUCCGCCCCUUAGUGCUGCAGCUAACGCAUUAAGCACUCCGCCUGGGGAGU
rnacentral:rRNA from 1 species